rnacentral:rRNA from 1 species
AGAGUGAACGCUGGCGGUAGGCCUAACACAUGCAAGUCGAACGGCAGCACAGUAGGAGCUUGCUCUUACGGGUGGCGAGUGGCGGACGGGUGAGGAAUACAUCGGAAUCUACCUUUUGGUGGGGGAUAACGUAGGGAAACUUACGCUAAUACCGCAUACGCCCUUCGGGGGAAAGCCGGGGACCAGCAAUGGCCUGGUGCUGAUAGAUGAGCCGAUGUCGGAUUAGCUAGUUGGUGAGGUAAUGGCUCACCAAGGCGUACGAUCCGUAGCUGGUCUGAGAGGAUGAUCAGUCACACUGGAACUGAGACACGGUCCAGACUCCUACGGGAGCAGCAGUGGGAAUAUGGACAAUGGGCGAAAGCCUGAUCAGCCAUACCGCGUGUGUGAAGAAGGUCUUACGGAUUGUAAAGCACUUUAAGUGGAAGAAGGCAGUUACCUAAUACGUAUCUGUUUUGACGUUAACCGACAGAACUAAGCAACCGG